rnacentral:rRNA from 1 species
ACAUCCCUUGAACGUCCAAGAGAUUGGAUUUCCCUUCGGGGGCAAGGAGACAGGUGGUGCAUGGUUGUCGUCAGCUCGUGUCGUGAGAUGUUGGGUUAAGUCCCGCAACGAGCGCAACCCCUGUAGUUAGUUGCCAUCAUUGAGUUGGGCACUCUAGCUAGACUGCCGGUGACAAAUCGGAGGAAGGUGGGGACGACGUCAAAUCAUCAUGCCCCUUAUGUCCUGGGCUACACACGUACUACAAUGGCUAUCACAGUGGGAAGCAAGACCGCAAGGUGGAGCAAAUCCCCAAAGAUAGUCCCAGUUCAGAUUGUGGGCUGAAACCCGCCCACAUGAAGUCGGAAUUGCUAGUAAUGGCAGGUCAGCAUACUGCCGUGAAUACGUUCCCGGGCCUUGUACACACCGCCCGUCACACCAUGAGAGUCUGCAACACCCGAAGUCAGUAGCAUAACCGUAAGGAGUGCGCUGCCGAAGGUGGGGCCGAUGAUUGGGGUGAAGUCGUAACAAGGUAGGCGUAGCGAG